GGGGGCGUAGCUCAAUUGGUUAGAGUGCUGGCCUGUCACGCCAGAGGUUGCGGGUUCAAGUCCCGUCGCCCUCGCCA
rnacentral:tRNA from 1 species